ACCGUCGGAUUGUGCUGACUCGAUCAACCAUAUAUCAUAUAUAAACCCAUCCUCCGAACUAUAAGGAAUGACCCAAUGCUCCGCCAUUGGUAUCUGACUAAACUCGAUAGUAUUCCCCACAAUAUGAAUUGCAACAAAUUUGUCGGGAUCCAUGUAGCCGUAAAUCUGACCUUGAAAAGAACCAAUUGCAAAAAGAUGUUCAUAACCAAGACAUCCAUUUUCUUGUUCUUCUUCGUAUUGUUGUUCUUCUGUACGUGUUACAUAUUCUUUGUCUCCAAUCCGGCAAAAGGAUUGUUCCAAGCCACUGAAAAAAACAUAACAAUCUGGUUCGGUGGGAGGUUUGGUC
rnacentral:lncRNA from 1 species